AGUGAGUAGGAGAUCGGAGACCUUUCAGUGGAGGAGUCGGCUAUUCUAUUUGGAGGUGGUGGGCAGACUAGUUUGGACAGGCUGCUGCCUAAAAGUGGGCAAUUCCUCUCUGAAGGGUGACGUCUCCAGACUGCAAAUCGACCUGCCUGGCUUCCAACCGUUUCCAGCAACAGCGGUAUAGCUCAUCUUAAGAAGCCAGGUUUCUCGGCAUGCGUGAUAAAUUCGACUUUAAACUGA